rnacentral:ncRNA from 1 species
GUUAACUGCGCGUUUAGUUGCUAGGUGUAGACCCGAAACCCGGUGAUCUAGCCAUGGGCAGGUUGAAGGUUGAGUAACAUCAACUGGAGGACCGAACACACGUCUGUUGAAAAAGACGGUGAUGACUUGUGGCUGGGGGUGAAAGGCCAAUCAAACCGGGAGAUAUCUGGUUCUCCUCGAAAGCUAUUUAGGUAGCGCCUCGAGCGAAUACCAUUGGGGGUAGAGCACUGUUAAGGCUAGGGGGUCAUCCCGACUUACCAACCCUUUGCAAACUCCGAAUACCAAUGAGUACUACUCGGGAGACAGACGGCGGGUGCUAACGUCCGUCGUCAAAAGGGAAACAACCCAGACCGUCAGCUAAGGUCCCAAAGUUAUUGCUAAGUGGGAAACGAUGUGGGAAGGCUCAGACAGCUAGGAUGUUGGCUUAGAAGCAGCCAUCAUUUAAAGAAAGCGUAAUAGCUCACUAGUCGAGUCGGCCUGCGCGGAAGAUGUAACGGGGCUAAGCAAUACACCGAAGCUACGGGUACAUACUUUGUAUGUGCGGUAGAGGAGCGUUCUGUAAGC